rnacentral:lncRNA from 1 species
CAGAAGAUUGAGGCGAAGGGAUACAAUGACGAAAAAGAGGAGAUUCUCAGGAGAGUAGCAGGGGGAAGUGCCAAAAAUGAAGAAGAACCCUUUUUAAAUAGAGGGAUGCACGGCCUUCAGAGGAUUUCAAAUCGAUAUGGAUUUUUAGUGCAUGCUACACAUCAGUCCCCUAUUGAUUAUGGGUAUACCGUUAGUUUCUGCAUUAAAUUUACCACAGCGAGAUGAAGACGGCAUCCGCAUAGAUUUUACAAUGAGCUCAUAAUUAUAUAUCAUCGUCA